CCUACGGGCGGCAGCAGUGAGGAAUAUUGGUCAAUGGACGCAAGUCUGAACCAGCAAAGUAGCGUGAAGGAUGAAGGCCCUCCGGGUUGUAAACUGCUUUUAGUUGGGAAUAAAAUGUUCCACGUGUGGGUUUUUGUAUGUACCAUAUGAAUAAGGAUCGGCUAACUCCGUGCCAGCAGCCGCGGUAAUACGGAGGAUCCGAGCGUUAUCCGGAUUUAUUGGGUUUAAAGGGAGCGUAGGUGGAUUGUUAAGUCAGUUGUGAAAGUUUGCGGCUCAACCGUAAAAUUGCAGUUGAUACUGGCAGUCUUGAGUACAGUAGAGGUGGGCGGAAUUCGUGGUGUAGCGGUGAAAUGCGUAGAUAUCACGAAGAACUCCGAUUGCGAAGGCAGUUCACUGGACUGCAACUGACACUGAGGCUCGAAAGUGUGGGGAUCAAACAGGAUUAGAUACCCGGGUAGUC
rnacentral:rRNA from 1 species